GACGAACGCUGGCGGCGUGCCUAAUACAUGCAAGUCGAACGAGAGCGACCGGUGCUUGCACUGGUCAAUCUAGUGGCGAACGGGUGGGUAACACGUGGGUAACCUGCCCAUCAGAGGGGGAUAACAUCCGGAAACGGAUGCUAAAACCGCAUAGGUCUUCGAACCGCAUGGUUUGAAGAGGAAAAGAGGCGCAAGCUUCUGCUGAUGGAUGGACCCGCGGUGCAUUAGCUAGUUGGUGAGGGAACGGCUCACCAAGGCCGUGAUGCAUAGCCGACCUGAGAGGGUGAUCGGCCACAUUGGGACUGAGACACGGCCCAAACUCCUACGGGAGGCAGCAGUAGGGAAUCUUCCGCAAUGGACGCAAGUCUGACGGAGCAACGCCGCGUGAGUGAAGAAGGUUUUCGGAUCGUAAAACUCUGUUGUUAGAGAAGAACAAGUGCUAGAGUAACUGUUAGCGCCUUGACGGUAUCUAACCAGAAAGCCACGGCUAACUACGUG
rnacentral:rRNA from 1 species